rnacentral:rRNA from 1 species
GACGAACGCUGGCGGCGUGCUUAACACAUGCAAGUCGAACGGAAAGGCCCUGCUUUUGUGGGGUGCUCGAGUGGCGAACGGGUGAGUAACACGUGAGUAACCUGCCCUUGACUUUGGGAUAACCUCAGGAAACUGGGGCUAAUACCGGAUAGGAGCUCCUGCUGCAUGGUGGGGGUUGGAAAGUUUCGGCGGUUGGGGAUGGACGCGCGGCUUAUCAGCCUGUUGGUGGGGUAGUGGCUUACCAAGGCUUUGACGGGUAGCCGGCCUGAGAGGGUGACCGGCCACAUUGGGACUGAGAUACGGCCCAGACUGCUACGGGAGGCAGCAGUGGGGAAUAUUGCACAAUGGGCGGAAGCCUGAUGCAGCAACGCCGCGUGCGGGAUGACGGCCUUCGGGUUGUAAACCGCUUUCGCCUGUGACGAAGCGUGAGUGGCGGUAAUGGGUAAAGAAGCACCGGCUAACUACGUG